AUGGUAGCUAGUGAAAUUUUCCUUCUGUAUUUUCUGAACUGGAUUUGGACUUUUUCUUUUCCUGAUUUUCUUCAAAAGAGUGGCACGAUUUCAAGCCUUUUUGACUUAAUGAUUUUUCUAAUUUUCUUUAUUCUGAAUCAAGGCUACACUUUGUAUUCGUUCUUCUUUGUCGUUUUUUUAUGCAGGUUAGUACAUGGUCGCAACAAAAAUUCAUGGAGCAAGCACUUUGAAAUGGAAAACUGA